rnacentral:pre_miRNA from 1 species
AUGAAGUUCAGUUCUUAGAUUUUAGAUACAAUGUUUUGACUAUUCGUUUUAUCUGAAAUUUUUUUAUGAUUAAUAUUUUUAUUGUUACUAAAUGGUAAAACAUGAAUAAUACUUUAUGUGUGACUAAUUUUUUAAGUUUUUUAAAUUUUUAAAUAAAACGAAUGGUUAAACAUUAGACACAGAAAUUAAAAAAUAAAGUUAUG